GAUGAACGCUGGCGGCGUGCCUAAUACAUGCAAGUCGAGCGAACCAAUUAAGAGCUUGCUCUUAAGAAGUUAGCGGCGGACGGGUGAGUAACACGUGGGUAACCUGCCUAUAAGACUGGGAUAACUCCGGGAAACCGGGGCUAAUACCGGAUAACAUUUUGCACCGCAUGGUGCGAAAUUGAAAGGCGGCUUCGGCUGUCACUUAUAGAUGGACCUCGGGCGCAUUCGCUAGUUGGUGAGGUAACGGCUCACCAAGGCGACGAUGCGUAGCCGACCUGAGGGGGUAAUCAGCCACACUGGGACUGAGACACGGCCCAGACUCCUACGGGAGGCAGCAGUAGGGAAUCUUCCGCAAUGGACGAAAGUCUGACGGAGCAACGCCGCGUGAACGAUGAAGGCUUUCGGGUCGUAAAGUUCUGUUGUUAGGGAAGAACAAGUGCUAGUUGAAUAAGCUGGCACCUUGACGGUACCUAACCAGAAAGCCACGGCUAACUACGUGCCAGCCGCCGCGGUAAUAC
rnacentral:rRNA from 1 species